GGAGUUAUAGUCAACAAUGACAUUUGAUUUGCAAUUAAAAAGUGCCUUUAGGGGCUAACUUCA
rnacentral:tRNA from 1 species